rnacentral:rRNA from 1 species
CAGUCGCCGCGGGAAUACGGAGGGGGCUAGCGUUGUUCGGAAUUACUGGGCGUAAAGCGUACGUAGGCGGCUUUGUAAGUUAGAGGUGAAAGCCUGGAGCUCAACUCCAGAAUUGCCUUUAAGACUGCAUCGCUUGAACGUCGGAGAGGUGAGUGGAAUUCCGAGUGUAGAGGUGAAGUUCGUAGAUAUUCGGAAGAACACCAGUGGCGAAGGCGGCUCACUGGACGACUGUUGACGCUGAGGAGCGAAAGCGUGGGGAGCGAACAGGAUUAGAUACCCCCGUAGUCCCUGUCUCUUAUAC